CGUUGCAACACCGGUUCUCGUACGAUUGCCGAGGUUAAGCAACGUCGAGCCUGGUCAGUACCUAGAUAGGUGACCGCUUAGGAAUAUCGGGUUCUGUA